GUGCUCACUUCAGCACAUAUACUAAAAUUGGAACGAUACAGAGAAGAUCAGCAUGACCCCAGUGCAAGGAUAACACACUCAUUUGUGAGCCAUUCCAUUCUAUU
ensembl:snRNA U6 U6 spliceosomal RNA